UCUGUGUGUUCUAAGCAAGCCCUGAACCAGCUGAGCCAUGAAUCCAGCGCUCCGUGUGUUCUAAGCAAGCCCUGAACCAGCUGAGCCAUGAAUACAGUGUUCUGUGUGUUCUAAGCAAGCCCUGAACCAGCUGAGGCACAUUCCCAGCUCACUGGCUCCUAUAUUCAGAGGCUUCAGUCCUUGUGCACUUGGCUGUGUUGCUUCUGGACAUAUAAGGUGGCUACGUGCACACAAGAGCAGUGCCCAUGGAGGCCGGAAGAGGGCAUUGGAUAGACACACUGGAGCCAGAGUUACAAGCAGGGGGGUUGAAUUUAGGUUCUCAUGCAUGGACUGCGAGAGCUUUGCUGGUUGAGGCAUCUCCCCAGCCUCUGGAGCUGCAGUGUUUCUAAAAGUCUUGAUGCAGCCUGUCUGGAUUACGUAUCGCAAAGGGUGGCACCUAACUUGUGCUCACACUGGACUGCAAAUUCAUGACCCUGUCAUCCACUGAUGAAUUCAACUGUGAGCCCAACUGCUAUUGUGGAGAGAGAUGCAAUCAUCCCAAGGGGCAGGAGAGACACAUCUGCAGCAAUUCCAAGGAGACGAGGUGUGAGUCAGAAGAGGGGAGAUGCCUCCCCAGGACUGCGUGGGAAGCUUUGGAGCUCUGGGUAAGUCUUUGGUUAAGGCUUCUCAAAAAACAAAAACAAAAACAAAAAACAAAACAAAACAAAAAAACUGGCUUGGGGCAAAGAGAGUGUAAUUUAGACUUAUCUGGUGAAUGGUUGGC
rnacentral:lncRNA from 1 species